rnacentral:tRNA from 1 species
UGGCUCAGAUGGUAAAGCAUCUGCCUGCAAUGCGGGAGACCCAGGUUCGAUUCCUGG